UAACACUAUAAAUAAGAGAAUGAUAGAAAGGUUAUUUGUCUUUGCCCAUGGAGAGUGGCUUUGCUCAUGGAGAGUGGCUUUGCCUAUGGAGGGUGACUUUCAGCUCAUGGAGUAGAGUUAUCGCCCAUUGUAGGGAGAGGCUUUGUCAAUUACUGAGAAUUUGGCGCUGCCCAUUGCAGUCCCAUGAAGGGAUAGAGGCUUCGGCUAAAGGUGGAGAAGGGCAUAGUCCAAGAGG
rnacentral:misc_RNA from 1 species